rnacentral:rRNA from 1 species
AUUGAACGCUGGCGGCAGGCCUAACACAUGCAAGUCGAGCGGAAACGAGUUAUCUAAACCUUCGGGGAACGAUAACGGCGUCGAGCGGCGGACGGGUGAAUAAUGCCUAGGAGAUUGCCCUGAUGUGGGGGAUAACCAUUGGAAACGAUGGCUAAUACCGCAUGAUGCCUACGGGCCAAAGAGGGGGACCUUCGGGCCUCUCGCGUCAGGAUAUGCCUAGGUGGGAUUAGCUAGUUGGUGAGGUAAGGGCUCACCAAGGCAACGAUCCCUAGCUGGUCUGAGAGGAUGAUCAGCCACACUGGAACUGAGACACGGUCCAGACUCCUACGGGAGGCAGCAGUGGGGAAUAUUGCACAAUGGGCGCAAGCCUGAUGCAGCCAUGCCGCGUGUGUGAAGAAGGCCUUCGGGUUGUAAAGCACUUUCAGUCGUGAGGAAGGUAGUGUGUUUAAUAGAUGCAUUAUUUGACGUUAGCGACAGAAGAAGCACCGGCUAACUCCGUGCCAGCAGCCGCGGUAAUACGGAGGGUGCGAGCGUUAAUCGGAAUUACUGGGCGUAAAGCGCAUGCAGGUGGUUUGUUAAGUCAGAUGUGAAAGCCCGGGGCUCAACCUCGGAAUAGCAUUUGAAACUGGCAGACUAGAGUACUGUAGAGGGGGGUAGAAUUUCAGGUGUAGCGGUGAAAUGCGUAGAGAUCUGAAGGAAUACCGGUGGCGAAGGCGGCCCCCUGGACAGAUACUGACACUCAGAUGCGAAAGCGUGGGGAGCAAACAGG